AAUGAACGCUGGCGGCAUGCCUAACACAUGCAAGUCGAACGAAGGCUUCGGCCUUAGUGGCGCACGGGUGCGUAACGCGUGGGAAUCUGCCCUUGGGUUCGGGAUAACAGUGAGAAAUUACUGCUAAUACCGGAUGAUGACGUAAGUCCAAAGAUUUAUCGCCCAAGGAUGAGCCCGCGUAGGAUUAGCUAGUUGGUGGGGUAAAGGCCCACCAAGGCGACGAUCCUUAGCUGGUCUGAGAGGAUGAUCAGCCACACUGGGACUGAGACACGGCCCAGACUCCUACGGGAGGCAGCAGUGGGGAAUAUUGGACAAUGGGCGAAAGCCUGAUCCAGCAAUGCCGCGUGAGUGAUGAAGGCCUUAGGGUUGUAAAGCUCUUUUACCCGGGAUGAUAAUGACAGUACCGGGAGAAUAAGCUCCGGCUAACUCCGUGCCAGCCGCCGCGGUAAAAC
rnacentral:rRNA from 1 species